GAAUUGACGGGGGCCCGCACAAGCAGUGGAGUAUGUGGUUUAAUUCGAAGCAACGCGAAGAACCUUACCAGGGCUUGACAUCCCUCUGACAGCUCUAGAGAUAGGGCUUCCCUUCGGGGCAGAGGAGACAGGUGGUGCAUGGUUGUCGUCAGCUCGUGUCGUGAGAUGUUGGGUUAAGUCCCGCAACGAGCGCAACCCUUGUCGUUAGUUGCCAGCACGUUAAGGUGGGCACUCUAGCGAGACUGCCGGCGACAAGUCGGAGGAAGGUGGGGACGACGUCAAAUCAUCAUGCCCCUUAUGUCCUGGGCUACACACGUACUACAAUGGCUGCUACAAAGGGAAGCGAUACCGCGAGGUGGAGCAAAUCCCCAAAAGCAGUCCCAGUUCGGAUUGCAGGCUGAAACUCGCCUGCAUGAAGUCGGAAUUGCUAGUAAUGGCAGGUCAGCAUACUGCCGUGAAUACGUUCCCGGGCCUUGUACACACCG
rnacentral:rRNA from 1 species